rnacentral:rRNA from 1 species
CAGCCGCCGCGGUAAUACAGAGGGUGCAAGCGUUAAUCGGAAUUACUGGGCGUAAAGCGCGCGUAGGUGGUUUGUUAAGUUGGAUGUGAAAUCCCCGGGCUCAACCUGGGAACUGCAUCCAAAACUGGCAAGCUAGAGUAUGGUAGAGGGUGGUGGAAUUUCCUGUGUAGCGGUGAAAUGCGUAGAUAUAGGAAGGAACACCAGUGGCGAAGGCGACCACCUGGACUGAUACUGACACUGAGGUGCGAAAGCGUGGGGAGCAAACAGGAUUAGAGACCCCCGUAGUCCCUGUCUCUUAUAC